rnacentral:rRNA from 1 species
GACGAACGCUGGCGGCGUGCCUAAUACAUGCAAGUAGAACGCUGAAGAGAGGAGCUUGCUCUUCUUGGAUGAGUUGCGAACGGGUGAGUAACGCGUAGGUAACCUGCCUUGUAGCGGGGGAUAACUAUUGGAAACGAUAGCUAAUACCGCAUAACAAUGGAUGACCCAUGUCAUUUAUUUGAAAGGGGCAAAUGCUCCACUACAAGAUGGACCUGCGUUGUAUUAGCUAGUAGGUGAGGUAACGGCUCACCUAGGCGACGAUACAUAGCCGACCUGAGAGGGUGAUCGGCCACACUGGGACUGAGACACGGCCCAGACUCCUACGGGAGGCAGCAGUAGGGAAUCUUCGGCAAUGGGGGGAACCCUGACCGAGCAACGCCGCGUGGGUGAAGAAGGUUUUCGGAUCGUAAAGCUCUGUUGUAAGUCAAGAACGAGUGUGAGAGUGGAAAGUUCACACUGUGACGGUAGCUUACCAGAAAGGGACGGCUAACUACGUG